UUGAAGUCCCAACCAAAAUCAUGGAUUUUUCUCUUUCUCCUUUCAGCUUUGUCAGUUUUUGCUUCAUGUACUUUGAAGUGGCUAAAUACAUUGUUUAAGGAAGUGCUAAGAGUGGACCUCCUUACCCAAUUCUGUUCUUCUGGGAAAAAAUUGAAUCUCUUCACUAUAAGUCUCUCAAUGCUCCUUGCCUGAACUCCCAUGGGGCUUCCCAGCUCGGAGGACCUGUGUCUCCCAUGAGCCAGAGGUAUGAUUGCUUUUAGAUGAGAACAGCCAGGUCAUUUAGCCUCAGUAACUCAUUGUACUGCCAGUGGGUGGGGCCAGGACAAUAGCCCCAGAGCUGCAUUCCUGCUUCUCUUUGGCCUGGUUUAUGGCCUGAACCCCAGAGCUGAGACAAAGGGAAACCUUCUCUCCAGGCCCUGUCCCCAGAGCCAGCUGGUUCCAGUUCAUUGAGUCCGGCCACUUUGGGGUGAGACUGGGAGGGCGUGUGCACCCCUCAGGGGACUGUGGGAUUGAGGGCCAAAGGCCACUUGCCUGGCUUGGGCUGGGGGAUUUCAGGCCUUGCCCUCUGCUGUCUGGGCUUCCAGGAGCCCCAGGCCUGCCUGGAUAGGGCAGCCCAGCCCACCAUGUAGAAGGGUCCAGUCCCACCUCCCUACUGCCUGGCCAUGCCCCCGACCACCUGCCUGUGCACUCUCAAGGCAUGCAUCACUGGCGGCCUCACAGGAGAAAAUGGGGACAACCCAGACCCUAGAAGGGCCACCAGAUGCCUUGGCAUCCUAAUCCACCCCUGCAGGGCCAGGCCCAACCCAGCCUCCCCUUCCUUACUUAGAGGCCCACACUUGCCACCCGCCCCCGUCCUUCUCAUCCCACUCUUGCCCCCAGCCUGCACCACACAUGCCCCUUUGCCUGGAGCCUCCUUCCUCCAACACCCUCUUCCCCUGUUAGGGUCACUGUCUCUUCCCCUGAGACUCCACCUGGGCCACUUCUUUUCUACAAGUCCCUGCUUGCCUCCUUACCUUGCUUUUCAACCCUCUCCUCUUCAGGGUCUUGGCCAUACAGUCCACCUUGCCAUCCCACCGCCCACCAGCUACUGAUGCUCUGACUUGCCCAUGAGCUGGGGGUACCCCAGGGCAGGGCCACAGCUGGCUCACCCUCAUGGCCCCAGCACCAGCCAGCGCAGGGUUGAGUAUGGAGACUUUCUUCAGGGGUGACAUGGGCUAGGGGAAGAUUGUUUGACUACCCAAAGGAUGCCCUGCUGGGGCUGUGGGAGUUGAGGCAUGAGAGAAUGGGGGCCUAGAGUGUCAGGGUCCCAUACACAGCAGGAAGCCACAGAAGAUGAUUGAGCUGGGGAGUGAGCAGAAGAGAUGGUGUUUCAAAACUGAACUGGGCUGAUGAAGAAGGGAAUCAGAGUGACAUAGGGCAGGGCUGGUGUAGGGGCCUGGGAGGCUGUGUGGGGGGCAGAGCUGAGCCAGAGAACAGCUGCACUUAGUGGGGGGAGGUCCCGAACGGGACGCGGUGGCCCUCCCCUCGCUGCCCGAAGUGUGGAUGCCGCCGAGGCUCCCCGCCCGCCUCCAGAGUCGCUUCUGGGUUCACAGCACAUCUGUCCAGGGAGGACACUGUUCUGGCAAGGGUAACAGCGACUGGCCGGGGAAGGAACCCAGCGGCCCACAGGCAGUCGGAGAAUCAGCCUUGGUCCCGCAGCGGCUCAGAGAGGAUCUGACCCCGCUUCCUUGUUCUCCGGUUUUUAUACCCUUGGUGGGGAUUCAAAAAGCGUCCAAUCAGCAACAAGCUUUACCAUCCAAUCAGCAGUGAGUUCAGCCCUGGGGGGGGGGGUGUUUCCCUAUCAACACCAACGAUUUCAUCGACUGGAAACACAUCAUAAAGCGGCAUCGCGAAGGGUAAGGUUCCCGGAGGUGCCUCAUUUGAGUCUCCCCGGAGCCGCAGGGCCGUGCUGGCGGAGGCCCGCGCCCGGCGCCCGCUCCCCGGCGGUGCAGAGCUGCCCAGACUCCCGCCCGGGCUCGCGUUUCUGAGUGGCAUCUGUGUGCCACCCCCCGGACGUCAGCGGGCGUUUACUCAGGGCUCCCAGCACGCCGAGAAUUGCAACACAACAGUGGAGCCUUAAGUGGCUUUAAAAGUAAGUAGUAAGGACAGAGGGCUGUAUUCCCCGAUUAAAGGUGAGACAGACGGCGUUUUGAGCAGCGAUGACCCCGGCAAACACUGCCAACCUGGCACUGAGCUAAGGUGCUUUAUCUCUGCAAUCCUGGCGGCACCCAGGGGCUAGAUGACUGUGCCCGAGUCACAGCUAACCAGGGUCCCCAGCCGGAGAGCAGAGCCCCUGAGACCCUAGAUGGCCCCCUGGAGGCAAAGGCGUGCAGUUUUCCUAAACUCUGAAAGAAAGGAACCCCAAAAAGAAGGAAGUACAAAUGUGCUCCUGGGACUGUAGCAGGCCAGAGCUUACUCUACUAAAUAUGUGAAUUGCUGCACAUUUAUGUAAGAUUUCCCUGUGACAAGCAGACAAAAUGUAUUAUUGGUGUACAUACACGGCAUUCCUGAUUCUGGACAACACAUGGAAAAAAUUCUCCCUCCUUAGGGCAAAAAGAUGCAUGUCUUGACGUGGAGGCAGCCUCAUGCACUUAUUAAAUCAGCCGAAAUGAGUAGAAAUGACGAAAGGCAGUGCCGGUGCUGCUGCGCCCCCAGCCAGGCAGCCCAGGAGCUUGUCCCAGAGGCGGGCAGGGUGCACCACGCUCUGCUGGCAGGUGGCCCGGCAGGUGGCCCCGCACCCACCGCACCACACCCCGGCCGCCUGGCAGCCCUGGGGCGACCCUGGGCCUUCUGCAGGCCUUUCCUGCCUGCGGCUCCUUGCUGGGCCGCCCACACAUCCGCUGUUCGCAGAGACGGUGAUGGGAGGGAUGCCGUUUGGAGUAGCUCUGGCUGCCUCCUUGGGGGGGAGCGGCCGCAGGGGACAAUUAAUUAUGAGGAUCCUGCCUGGAGGCCGGCGGGGCCGGGUGUUUACACGCUCGCUCAUCUGUUUGGGGCCUGCAAAUCCGUGUCAGAUGUUAAUGGAACAGCAUCAUUUUUCUGUCGAGGUGGCAUCCCUGGGUUGUUUGGACGAGGCGGUCUGGGAAAGGCCCUGGGGCGGUAGCGCUGAGCGGGACCGCGGGGCCAGGCCUUCUCCGGAGGCCGUUUGUCAGGCUCCGACAGCCUCCGCCUUCGCUCCCCUCACCCACUCGGCACCCCACCCGGCAGGGCCCGUCCCUUGUCCCCAGGGCUCUGGGGAUGAAAACUGUGAAUUGUGGGAGAAAAGGAUUUACUCCAAAAUACGGAAGCCCCAAAUUGAAAAGGAGCAAAUGCCUAGGCGUGGGCCGGCUGCACAGGGAGAAGGAGCCGCGGGUUCCAGCCGCCGCACAGCCACCUCCCACUGCAGAGCCCCUCGGGAGGGGCCUGGUGGCCUGAGGCAGCCCUGCAGGCCCUCACAGAUGUGUGGCCCUUUCUGAGGCUGAGAGGACAAAGGUCAGGGCGCAGGAGGAGAUACCCCUCACCUGCCUCAGCUCUGGGCAUCCUCGCCAUCAGGAAGGCAGAUGGAGAAAGAGGCCCAAGAGGAAAAGUGACCUGCUCAAGGUCACGCGGUGACCCGGGCCUUCUGGACAGGCCUGCAGAGGAGUAGGGGAGUGCCCCUCAGGGGGCUGGCAGCUCAGGGCAGGUUGGCCUUGGGACACCUCGGUGAUGAGGAGGCCCAGGCCACCCCCAAGGCUACACACAGCCAGGCUGGGUAAGGGCCUGCCAAGGGAUGGAAGGAAUGAGCUCUCAAGCCCCUCUCCUGACCUCACUGCCUCCUGGCUGCUCCUCAGCAAGCUCACUCCGGCCUCAGGGCCUUUGCAUGGGCUAUUCCCAAAGGCCACCUCCUCAGAGAGGCCUCUCAGACCAGACUGGCGGAAGCGUUCCCAGCCCACCACCAAGCUGUGUCCCCUCGAGGGGCCGAGGCUCAGGGACCAUGGAAAGGGGCCAGCACACAGCAGGCACUCGGGAAAUGUGGCCACACAGGCUGUGUAGUCACUGUACAAGACUCAUCAGACCCUGGUGUCUGAUGCCUUCGAUCCGAAUGCCAUGUCACUGCUGUCGCUGGGAAUUACUGAGGACACUGCUUUCAACACGGGCUGGGAACACCCUAUGGAUUUUUAAAUCAGCAAUAUCUUUUAUUUUUGAAGCCUGGACAGUGGCCCCUCUCAACUCUCCCUCCCACACUUUGUCCAGCCUCUUGGACUAGGAGAGCAGAGACCCUUGGCAGCCGUGUGUCCUGACAAGCCCUCCCUCUUUGUCCCCAUCUGCACAGCAGGCUCCUUGCUCAGGGUCGUGCGGAGUCUGGAGGGCUGUAGAGCCCUGGCCAGGCCCAGGCCAGGCCAGGGACAGGGGUCCAGGGGAAAGGGACCUGGAGGGAGCUGGGGCUCUGCAAGGCCUGGGGAAGGGCGAGAGCCUCAUGAUGGAGGGAGAGUGGCACAAGGACGGUGUAGGCGCCCUUAGGUGAGCUCUGCGCCUCACGCCUUCCUCCUCGGUGCUCCUCUGCUCCAGUGGUCCUCAGAAAGGGCACGUUGUCCCUGCUGCGGGACCCUUGUACCUGAGUCACCCCUUGCCCUGCCCAGCACAGUGCUCUUCCUCUGGGCCUUGGGAGCUGCCCUCCCGGCCACCGACCCUGCAGAAGGGUCCCCCUUGCAGGUCCCUCUGCUAAGCCAACCGUUUGCACUGAAUCCCUGCUCUACCAGCUGUGAGACUCUGCCUCGGUCCUUUGUCAGUGAACGAGAGAUGCUUGUAGGAUCUGCCUCCGACAGCAAUUGGGAAGCAUAAACCAAGUAACAUGGCCACAGGUGCUUGCUACGGGUAAAGCAGAUCUGACUUUACUAUCUGCUCCUCCGACAGCAAUUGGGAAGCAUAAACCAAGUAACAUGGCCACAGGUGCUUGCUACGGGUAAAGCAGAUCUGACUUUACUAUCUGCUCCCCGGCACUCACAGCACGCUCACAAUGGCAUUUCUGUUUGCCCUUAGCCCAUGUCCCAGCACCCACCCCAGCCCCAGGCGCUAAAUAACCUCUAGCAACUGUCCACCUUUUCCCAGCCCUGCCCUGUCCCCUGGUGGUUGUUCUGGGCAUUGCCCCACAGGCUUGACAGUGGGACCCAUUUUUGCCAACUGUGGGUUCAGGAGGGGGCUCUGGGUCCGGCUGGGGCUGAAGGAUCCGAGCACCUAGACAGGCACGCCCCUGCGGGGCACACCAAGCUGCCAGCACCGCUCAGCUCCCCACCAGGCAUGGAGAUGUGGGCGCAGGGGCAGGGAGCCCUUUGUCUGUGGCCUACCUGCAGCAGGCUGCGGUGCCUGACAGCCCAUUCCGUCUGCUCGCACAGCCCAAGCGCCCCUCGCCUGCCGCACCCCCUGUGUGGAUGACCCCGGGGCUCUGCUCUGACCCUUCCAGCCCCUCCUCUUGGUUCAGCCCGCCCAGGGCCCUGCUGGCCUGCCUCAGUCUCUGCCCAUGUUGCUGGAAAUAUCUCCAUCUUUCACGGGGCGGGGCGGUGCCAGGGAGCCCCACAGACCUGCACACCCCCUGGGGCUUGUCUCCCCCACACACCACGCUCCCGGCCUACAGGCCGCAGUGACACUGUGGGUCCAGCUCCACUUGUGAGCAGCUGAGGCUCCUCUGAGGCUCCUUGCCUGGACGUCCUUUGGUGGACGUCCAGGCAAGAUGGGCCAGUGACCACACGUCCCUCUUGGGCUGUGGCUGGCCUCAGGCCCCAGUGAAGCGGGGAAGGUUCUCCGUACCCCGCACCUCGCCAGGACGCGGCAGGCGCUGGGGAAAGCUGCGGAACCAGGCUGAGCUGUGGACAGCCGGGCUGGGCCGUGUGGUUAUGCAGGUCCCCGCACCAGGCUUCACAGGAACCACCCGCUGCUGGGAAGUGGCCCUCUUCCCAGCGGGAACUCAGCACCCAGUUGCUGAAUCCUGUGCCCCCAGCACUGCCCCGACAGCAUGGUGGUGCCAGCGCCCAGAUGCUUCACCUCACAGCGCAAUGGUCAGGAGCAGUCUGGUUUCGUGUGUCAGGGGCCUGGAGGCAGACGAAGGGAAGGUCCCAGCCAGGCUGCUGCCUGCAAGAACGGACCACACUGUCCCGUGGGGGCCUCCAUAGACGCCUGCCCUGCGGAGGAAGGGUGCGGCAGUCAGGGCGGAGCCUGGGCCUUUGCUGGUCCACCUGUGUUGUGGACCUCGCCCUCCCAAGUUCACUGUCACAGGGCUGUCAGCACUGACACCAGGCGGGGGAGGAGCAUUAAAGCCAGGAGGGCCACAGCCAGGGCCACUCGGGCUUCCUGCUCCCCAGUGGCAGGCGCGCACGCAGAGCCUCGCAUGCAGGCCUGUGCCGCCUCACGUGGGCAGGAUCCUUGCACCACUGCCUCAAACACAGGCUGCGCCGUGCACGGUGAGGGCUGAACCUCCAGACACUGGGCCGGCAGGAGUCCAGUGCAGGACGGAGCCUGGGCCCUGGGAGGUGCUGGGUGGCCUGCGGAGCUCCUCCCAGAGCCGGGCCCCAGCUCCCAGUCCUGACAGAGACACUGGGCUAGGGGUGGACCCAAGCAGCACCCAGGCAGCUCUACCAUCAAGAUCAAGAUGCUGGGCUCAGGGUCUGGCCAGCCUGAGUAUGGUAGGGGCUUCCCGGCCUGGGCCUGGAAGGGGCUGCGCUCUUUCUCCCAGGGGCUGCAAGGCAGAGGAUGUGGGGGCUCCUGGGGGAUAUGAGCAAGGACAGGCGCGCUGCCCAGGAAGCCUCAGGGUAUGCAGAGGCCACUGGCUCUUGCUGGGCUCCAGGGGUGUGGCUUGGGGGGGCGUGCCCAGGCCCAGCCCCUGUGAGAGGCCUAGCAGCCUGGACGGCUUGGGCACCACCUGGUGGCAGCACUGGGACACCCACCCUGCAGCCCACGGGUCCUGGAGGGGACCCUCCUGAGGGCUCAGCUGCCGUAUGUGGUGAGGGGCAUUUCCCCUGAGCACCCAGCAGGGACUCAGGAGAACUAUGGCUCAGGGAGCAAGGCCUGGCUCAAGGUCACACCCUCUAUUCAUUUUCUGUGCUGCAUGAUGAAUGGCACCUAGUGAAUUACCACAAACACAGGGGCUGAGAACAACACCCACCGCUGUCUCAGUUCUGGGGGUAGAAGUCCAGCAGCUCAGGGCUCUCUGCUCAGGGCCUCCCUUGGAGGGCCCUGCUUCCAGGCUUGCUCAGGGUGGAGACAGGCAGGUCUUAUCCUGGCUCAGCUACCUGCAAGCUGGGGCAACUUGGGCGACCUAGGCCAACUGCCCAUCUCCAGCUUAUGGGGACGUUGGAGCCCUUCCCACGUCUAGCUUCCACUGCAGGGCAAGAGUGUAGCAGACAGGGCCCCACUGGGGAGGCCUGUCCAGCCUCCACAUUAGUCCUCAGUUCUCACCCUCACCUGCACCACCUGAAUGGCCUGAGGUUAUUCCUGUGUCUGUCUCAUCCACCGCUCCCCACGUGUGCACCCCCACCCAGAACCGGGCCUCACCUGUCCCGGCAGCCCUGCCUGCCAUGCACCACGAAUGCUUACCCUGCCCCGCACUUGCCACCCUUCCCUGCUUGCCUGUCAUUUGAGCAUAUCUGUUGGGGGUGAGGGCUAUUUUUCUUUGUUUAUUGUGAAUAGUGUGGAAUUUAGACUGGAACUGUGCACACGCUUAAGUGUGUCUGGGUGUCCAGCCCAUGUCGGGGCACAUGUGUGCAUUCACUGGGCUCAGGAACCAAGAGCCAGACCGCACACCCAAGUCCCUGAGGAUGUUCUAGAGGCCUCGCGAGGACACCCUCACGGCCGGGACUGGCAGAGCCAGGGUCUCAAAGGCUGUGGCCCCAUGGCCGAGGGUCUCUUCUGACCACUCUUGCGGCCAGCCAAGGGCGCUGCGACUUUGGGGUGCAAUCUGACGCUUUCC